CAGUCAUACCAACGGGAAAUCAACCUUUUGAGCUUGGUCUCGUGGGUUUUGAAGAGUUUCAAAGCCUUCGGAUUCGCGGGAUUGGGAUCUCUUGGUGUACUUUUUCGUACGGUUAGUCAACAUCGGUUUUGAAUGUCAUAAAAUGACUGGAGGAAUGUAGCUUCGAUCUCGUAUUGAAGUGUUAUAGCCUUUGGUAGAUGUGAUGUUUGAGACCGAGGAUUGCAACGGAUACCCUUCAGGGCUAUUCGUCUGAUCUCUGAUACGUUGCCUUGAUGUUGAAAGCUUGCUUAUGAUGUUAGGGUAUUACGGUCAAAAGGUUAGAACGAAUACAUCGUUAAGGAUGUUGACGUA
rnacentral:rRNA from 1 species